AUGAGACAUUAUUAUUAUUUUAUGGCGGUAAAAUACACAUAGCAUUAAACAUACUUUAUUAACCAUCUUUAAGUGUGCAGUUCUGUGGUGCUAAGUACAUUCUCACUGGUGUGCAACCAUCCCCACCCUCCAUCUCUGGAACUCUUUUCAUCUUGCAAAAUUGAAACUCUGUCCCCAUUAAACACUUAUCUCCUCAUUUCCUCCCCCAUCCUCCAGCCUCUGGUAACUACCAUUGUGUUCUCUGUCACUGUGAGCUUGUGUGUGUGUGUGUGUGUGUGUGUGUGUGUGUGUGUGUUUGUGUAUCCAUUCUACAUAUAGGUGAAAUUAUGCAAUGUGUGUAUUUCUGUGUCUGGUUUAUUUCACUGAGCAUAAUGUUCUCCAGGUUCAUUCAUCCACAUUAUCACCAGUGGCAGGAUUUUUUUUUUUUUUUUUACCAGUGUCAGGAUUAACAGCCUUUUUAAGGGCUGCAUAAUAUUCCAUUAUAUUAAGCUAUAUCGCAGUAUAUACAAUGGAAAUAUAUAUAUUCCAUUAUAAGAAGUAUGUAUAUCUCACAUGUUCUCUAAUCGUGCAGCAUUCUUUUCACUGGAUUCUAAAGGUUCGUUAGAGCCUAUAAUGGCAGUCCUUGUUAGAAUAAACACCACUUUGGAUUAAAAGACCUUCAGGUUUAUCAAAGAUACCAGCUUUACUAUUCUUUGUGGACUCAGCCCCACAAAGGACAGAAACCUAGAUGAACUGGAGCAUAUGAAUGGGGGGCCCUUAGUCAGUGGGGCCCUUAGUCAGUGCUCUUGUCUGAAUAUUCAUGUCCCCCCCCCCUUCAAUUCAUAUAUUGAAACCCUAACUUUAAGGUGAUUAGGAGAUAGGGCCUUUGGGAGGCAGUUAGUCCUGAAUGUGGAACCCUCAUAAAUGAGAUUAGUAUCCUCAUAAAAGAGGCCCCAGAGAGCUCUCCUCAUCCCUUCAGCCACAUGAGGACACAGUGAGAAGUCUGCAGGCAGGAGGAAGGCCCUCCCUUGACCAUGCCAGUACCCUGAUCUCAGACUGCCAGCCUCCAGAACUAUAGGAAAUACAUUUCUGUUGCUGAUAAGCCACCCAGUCUGUGGUGUUUGCUUGUAGCAGGUCACAAGGACUAACAGCCUGGUCAGCAAGGGUGAGGCUGCCUCCAGGAGGGUGGGUGGCCUUUUAAAACAGCCUCCCCCCUGUGGUUCCCUGGGGCAAGGGAAGUGGGGGAGGGGUACGUACCCAAGCAGAUACAGGCUUUUAAAGGACUUGCAUUGCCAUUAUUCAUCUCUUCUGGCCAAAGGCAUAUCUGCAGAUGAAUAUUCCAGAAAAUAUCAUUUUUUUUUUUGUUUUCAAGUUACAGAAGUAAAGUGUGCCUAUUGUAGAAAACAAGGACAAUACGGGAAAUAUAAAGAAAAACUGGAAAUCACCCAGAAUGCCACUGCCUAGAGAUCUUUUCUUGCCAGCCCUUCGGUGUAUUUCAUUUUAGCAUUUGGUGUGUAUGGGAUCAUAUUGUAAGCAAUUUUAUGUCCUUCAUCCAUUGAGCAUUACACUGUGAUCAUUUUCCCUGUCAUUAAAUUUAUUUGAAAACAUCAUUUUUAAUGGCUGCGUAAUAUUCAGCCUUGUGGCUGAUUCAUAAUUUAUUUAACCAUUUCUCCCCUUUUGGGCACUGAUGUUCAUUCUAAUUUGUAGAUAUUAUAAAUAUCCACAAAUAAUGGUGCUGUGAACACCCUCAUACAUAAAUCCUUGGGCGCUUUGUGCUUAUUUCUUGAGGACAGAUUCCUAGAUGUGGAAGAGAGGGGAUAUGUAUUUGGUAGUAGAUCCGGGUAGUAGAUCCCAAGUUGCUUUCCAGCAGAGUCUCCCGGUGAAGGCUUUGCCCCACUAGAAGAGAAUGUCCUCGUUCUGGCACUUUCUUCUGCAUUGAGCAUUACUUUUUCGUAAAUCACUGCUAAUGUGAUAGAAUACACACUGCUCCUGAGCUGCUUUGUCAUUUGCUCAUUGAUUUUGCCCAAUUUUCCAAUAGGGUGUCAUCAUUUUCCUUGCUAUUCCUAAAAGUUCCUUCUACAUGAAGAUUCUUCAUAUUUUCACAAAUACAAUACAAAUAUUUCUCCCAGUUGGUUAUUUGCCAUUACAUUUUUU
rnacentral:lncRNA from 1 species